rnacentral:rRNA from 1 species
UACAGAGGAGCCAAGCGUUGUCCGGAUUGACUGGGCGUAAAGCGCACGCAGGCGGUCGCGCGCGUGGGGUGUGAAAUCUGGCCGCUUAACGGCCAGGCGCCAUCCCAUACGGCGCGACUGGAGUGAUGCAGAGGUCGAUGGAAUUGCCGGUGUAGUGGUGAAAUGCGUAGAGAUCGGGCAGGAACACCCAGGGGGAAACCAGUCGACUGGGCAUC